CGAGUGUCUCGAUGUAUUAGCACAAGGUGCUUGCAUCUUGAUUUAAUUUUGAACGAGUGGCGGACGGGUGAGUAACACGUGGGUAACCUGCCCUUAAGUGGGGGAUAACAUUUGGAAACAGAUGCUAAUACCGCAUAAAUCCAAGAACCGCAUGGUUCUUGGCUGAAAGAUGGCGUAAGCUAUCGCUUUUGGAUGGACCCGCGGCGUAUUAGCUAGUUGGUGAGGUAACGGCUCACCAAGGCAAUGAUACGUAGCCGAACUGAGAGGUUGAUCGGCCACAUUGGGACUGAGACACGGCCCAAACUCCUACGGGAGGCAGCAGUAGGGAAUCUUCCACAAUGGACGCAAGUCUGAUGGAGCAACGCCGCGUGAGUGAAGAAGGCUUUCGGGUCGUAAAACUCUGUUGUUGGAGAAGAAUGGUCGGCAGAGUAACUGUUGUCGGCGUGACGGUAUCCAACCAGAAAGCCACGGCUAACUACGGGCCAGCAGCCGCGGUAAUACGUAGGUGGCAAGCGUUAUCCGGAUUUAUUGGGCGUAAAGCGAGCGCAGGCGGUUUUUUAAGUCUGAUGUGAAAGCCCUCGGCUUAACCGAGGAAGUGCAUCGGAAACUGGGAAACUUGAGUGCAGAAGAGGACAGUGGAACUCCAUGUGUAGCGGUGAAAUGCGUAGAUAUAUGGAAGAACACCAGUGGCGAAGGCGGCUGUCUGGUCUGUAACUGACGCUGAGGCUCGAAAGCAUGGGUAGCGAACAGGAUUAGAUACCCUGGUAGUCCAUGCCGUAAACGAUGAAUGCUAGGUGUUGGAGGGUUUCCGCCCUUCAGUGCCGCAGCUAACGCAUUAAGCAUUCCGCCUGGGGAGUACGACCGCAAGGUUGAAACUCAAAGGAAUUGACGGGGGCCCGCACAAGCGGUGGAGCAUGUGGUUUAAUUCGAAGCAACGCGAAGAACCUUACCAGGUCUUGACAUCUUUUGAUCACCUGAGAGAUCAGGUUUCCCCUUCGGGGGCAAAAUGACAGGUGGUGCAUGGUUGUCGUCAGCUCGUGUCGUGAGAUGUUGGGUUAAGUCCCGCAACGAGCGCAACCCUUAUGACUAGUUGCCAGCAUUUAGUUGGGCACUCUAGUAAGACUGCCGGUGACAAACCGGAGGAAGGUGGGGAUGACGUCAAAUCAUCAUGCCCCUUAUGACCUGGGCUACACACGUGCUACAAUGGAUGGUACAACGAGUUGCGAGACCGCGAGGUCAAGCUAAUCUCUUAAAGCCAUUCUCAGUUCGGACUGUAGGCUGCAACUCGCCUACACGAAGUCGGAAUCGCUAGUAAUCGCGGAUCAGCACGCCGCGGUGAAUACGUUCCCGGGCCUUGUACACACCGCCCGUCACACCAUGAGAGUUUGUAACACCCGAAGCCGGUGGCGUAACCCUUUU
rnacentral:rRNA from 1 species